rnacentral:rRNA from 1 species
UACGUAGGGGGCAAGCGUUGUCCGGAUUUAUUGGGCGUAAAGAGCGUGUAGGCGGCUUGGUAUGUCUUGCGUCAAAACCUGAGGCUCAACCUCAGGUCGCGUGGGAAACCACCUAGCUAGAGUCCGGAAGAGGAGAACGGAAUUCCCAGUGUAGCGGUGAAAUGCGCAGAUAUUGGGAGGAACACCAGUGGCGAAGGCGGCACUCUGGGCCAGUAAUGACACUGAGGAGCGAAAGCGUGGGGAGCGAACAGG